rnacentral:rRNA from 1 species
CCUACGGGAGGCAGCAGUGAGGAAUAUUGGUCAAUGGCCGUAAGGCUGAACCAGCCAAGUAGCGUGAGGGAAGACUGCCCUCUGGUUUGUAAACCUCUUUUAUGCGGGGAUAAAGGUUUCCACGUGUGGAUGUUGUCAGUUCCCGCAUGAAUAAGGACCGGCUAAUUCCGUGCCAGCAGCCGCGGUAAUACGGAAGUUCCGGGCGUUAUCCGGAUUUUUUGGGUUUAAAGGGAGCGUAGGCCGGUCUUUAAGCGUGCCGUGAAAUUUUGUGGCUCAACCAUGAGAGUGCGGCGCGAACUGGAGACCUUGAGUGCGCGGAAGGCAGGCGGAAUUCGUGGUGUAGCGGUGAAAUGCUUAGAUAUCACGAAGAACCCCGAUUGCGAAGGCAGCCUGCCGCAGCGUUACUGACGCUGAAGCUCGAAAGCGCGGGUAUCGAACAGGAUUAGAUACCCGUGUAGUC